rnacentral:rRNA from 1 species
AUUGAACGCUGGCGGAAUGCUUUACACAUGCAAGUCGAACGGUAGCACGGACUUCGGUCUGUUGGCGAGUGGCGAACGGGUGAGGAAUGUAUCGGAACGUGCCCAGCCGUGGGGGAUAACGUAGUGAAGAUUACGCUACUACCGCAUACGAUCUAUGGACGAAAGCGGGGGAUCGCAAGACCACGCGCGAUUGGAGCGGUCGAUAGAAGAUUAGGUAGGUGGGGGGGUAAAGGCCCACCAAGCCAACGAUCUGUAGCUGGUCUGAGAGGACGACCGGCCACACUGGAACUGAGACACGGUCCAGACUCCUACGGGAGGCAGCAGUGGGGAAUUUUGGACAAUGGGCGAAAGCCUGAUCCAGCCAUUCCGCGUGCAGGAUGAAGGCCCUCGGGUUGUAAACUGCUUUUGUACAGAACGAAAAGGUUUCUACUAAUACUAGGAGCUCAUGACGGUACUGUAAGAAUAAGCACCGGCUAACUACGUGCCAGCCGCCGCAGUAA